rnacentral:rRNA from 1 species
UACGUAGGUGGCAAGCGUUGUCCGGAUUUAUUGGGUUUAAAGGGUGCGUAGGCGGUCUUAUAAGUCAGUGGUGAAAUACGGCAGCUCAACUGUCGAGGUGCCAUUGAUACUGUAGGACUUGAGUACAGACGAGGUAGGCGGAAUUGACGGUGUAGCGGUGAAAUGCUUAGAUAUCGUCAAGAACACCGAUAGCGAAGGCAGCUUACUAGGCUGUAACUGACGCUGAGGCACGAAAGUGUAGGGAUCAAACAGG